GCCGAGGUAGCUCAGUCGGUAGAGCGAAGGACUGAAAAUCCUUGCGUCGGCGGUUCGAUUCCGUCCCUCGGCACCA
rnacentral:tRNA from 6 species